rnacentral:rRNA from 1 species
AGCGAACGCUGGCGGCGUGCUUAACACAUGCAAGUCGAGCGAAGGUGUUUCAAGGGUAACCUUGAGAUACACUUAGCGGCGGACGGGUGAGUAAUACGUGGAUAACUUACCUCUAGGCCUGGGAUAACCCCGGGAAACUGGGGCUAAUACCUGAUAAGACCACAUUGUCUACGGACAAAGGGGUAAAAGGUGGCUGUGCAAACAGCUAUCGCCAAAAGAUAGGUUCACGUCCCAUCAGGCAGUGGUGAGGUAAUGGCUCACCAAACCAAAGACGGGUAGCCGGCCUUGGCGGGUGAACGGCCACACGGGGACUGAGA